UGGUUAUAUUCCAAUACCGACUAUGGAGCGUGAUGGGGGGACGCAUAGGGUUAAGCGAGCUAGCUGAUGGAAGCGCUAGUCUAAGGGCGUAGAUUGGAGGGAAGGCAAAUCCACCUCUGUAUUUGAAACCCAAACAGGCUCUUUGAGUCCUUUUAGGACAAAGGGAGAAUCGCUGAUACCGUCGUGCCAAGAAAAGCCUCUAAGCAUAUCCAUAGUCGUCCGUACCGCAAACCGACACAGGUAGAUGAGAUGAGUAUUCUAAGGCGCGUGAAAGAACUCUGGUUAAGGAACUCUGCAAACUAGCACCGUAAGUUCGCGAUAAGGUGUGCCACAGCGAUGUGGUCUCAGCAAAGAGUCCCUCCCGACUGUUUACCAAAAACACAGCACUUUGCCAACUCGUAAGAGGAAGUAUAAGGUGUGACGCCUGCCCGGUGCUCGAAGGUUAAGAGGAUGCGUCAGUCGCAAGAUGAAGCGUUGAAUUGAAGCCCGAGUAAACGGCGGCCGUAACUAUAACGGUCCUAAGGUAGCGAAAUUCCUUGUCGGUUAAAUACCGACCUGCAUGAAUGGCGUAACGAGAUGGGAGCUGUCUCAACCAGAGAUUCAGUGAAAUUGUAGUGGAGGUGAAAAUUCCUCCUACCCGCGGCAAGACGGAAAGACCCCGUGGACCUUU
rnacentral:rRNA from 1 species